rnacentral:rRNA from 1 species
CUGCGGAAGGAUCAUUACAGAGUUCAUGCCCGAAAGGGUAGACCUCCCACCCUUGUGUAUUAUUACUUUGUUGCUUUGGCGAGCUGCCUUCGGGCCUUGUAUGCUCGCCAGAGAAUACCAAAACUCUUUUUAUUAAUGUCGUCUGAGUACUAUAUAAUAGUUAAAACUUUCAACAACGGAUCUCUUGGUUCUGGCAUCGAUGAAGAACGCAGCGAAAUGCGAUAAGUAAUGUGAAUUGCAGAAUUCAGUGAAUCAUCGAAUCUUUGAACGCACAUUGCGCCCCUUGGUAUUCCGGGGGGCAUGCCUGUUCGAGCGUCAUUUCAACCCUCAAGCUUAGCUUGGUAUUGAGUCUAUGUCAGUAAUGGCAGGCUCUAAAAUCAGUGGCGGCGCCGCUGGGUCCUGAACGUAGUAAUAUCUCUCGUUACAGGUUCUCGGUGUGCUUCUGCCAAAACCCAAAUUUUUCUAUGGUUGACCUCGGAUCAGGUAGGGAUACCCGCUGAACUUAAGCAUAUCAAA